rnacentral:misc_RNA from 1 species
UCCGGCUUGACGCCGGCAGUCUCGUCAGAGUCCUCGGCUGAACCCGUUAGCAACUGACGACAGGGGUUUCGCUCGUUGUAGGACUUAACCCGACACUUCACAGCACGAGCUGACGACAGCCAUGCAGCACCUGUGCAUGUUGUACCCUUGCGGGCCUGGCUCCGCUUUCACGGAGUUAAUCCAUGCAUGUCAAACCCAGGUAAGGUUCUUCGCGUUGCCUCGAAUUGAACCACAUGCUCCACCGCUUGUGUGAGCCCCCGUCAAUUCCUUUGAGUUUUAACCUUGCGGCCGUAUUUCCCAGGCGGUGGACUUAACGCUUUCGCUCCGGCUGAGACGGCGGUAAAACCGCCCCAACCCAGUCCACAUCGUUUACGGCCAGGACUAC